GACGAACGCUGGCGGCGUGCUUAACACAUGCAAGUCGAACGGAAAGGCCCUGCUUUUGUGGGGUGCUCGAGUGGCGAACGGGUGAGUAACAAGUGAGUAACCUGCCCUUGACUUUGGGAUAACUUCAGGAAACUGGGGCUAAUACCGGAUAGGAGCUCCUGCUGCAUGGUGGGGGUUGGAAAGUUUCGGCGGUUGGGGAUGGACUCGCGGCUUAUCAGCUUGUUGGUGGGGUAGUGGCUUACCAAGGCUUUGACGGGUAGCCGGCCUGAGAGGGUGACCGGCCACAUUGGGACUGAGAUACGGCACAGACUCCUACGGGAGGCAGCAGUGGGGAAUAUUGCACAAUGGGCGGAAGCCUGAUGCAGCAACGCCGCGUGCGGGAUGACGGCCUUCGGGUUGUAAACCGCUUUCGCCUGUGACGAAGCGUGAGUGACGGUAAUGGGUAAAGAAGCACCGGCUAACUACGUG
rnacentral:rRNA from 1 species